AUCUAAAUGUGUAUGGGAGGGGAAUGGUGGUCUUGAAUUCCAUUUGUACUUAAAGAAUUUGACCACCUUGUGGAUCUGUAUAUGUAUAUUUAUGGAUAAGAAGAAAUUUGCCACCUUGAAGUGCCUUGCUAAGCCCCCAAGAGUCGUCGAUUCUUUUGCUUGUCUACCAACCGGAGGAUAUAAAAACCACGUCCAUGGUAGAGAAUGUAAAGGCUAGUGGUGGAUGCAAGGCGUAGAUCUGCUGUACACAUCAGAAAAUAGGAAGUUGGCAUGAUGAAAGUCUUCCGAUAAUGGACAGGUUUUGACAAUAUUCCACGUUUCAGUCUUCUACAGUACUAUACACGGAUCCAAAUAGAAACUUUUUAACUAUUUCUACAAUUAAUUUGUUUUAAAGUUAAGAGUUAUUCCAAUAUAUUUUUAGCCACCAAGAAUGAAUCCAUCUAUUUCUGACGGAAAUUGUAAUUGGUUGCCCUAUAGAAACUGACAGGGCUGAAAUCAACACAAUCCAGUUCUAACUAGUUUAUCGAUAAAUUGAAACCCUUCAGCAACUUUAGGCCCUCGACACCUUUGGGGAAAAUUCUGCAUACAAGCCCAAAGUUAUACAUUACUUAAAGAUCCUGCAUAUUUUCGAAUUGAAAAUGACAGAGAAAAAUUCAAAUUUUUGGGGAAAAAACAACUUUUUAAAAUUUUACCAUUAUUCACAAAUACAUAUUAAAAGUCCAUGCAGCAUUCGAACUCGGGACCUGCUGGUCAGUAGAUCGAACUAUGCCCAUUUCGUUAGAGAGUGACACGCCGAAUUUUAGCGAUAUAAACUGUUUCGUAUUAAACUCGCCAUGUUGUGGCGUACUGACAUAAAAAAAAGUAGAAGUCACGGGGUGUCGAGGAUCCUUAAGAAAAAUCACGGACUGCACGAAGUAAUUAUUAUGAUGUCAGACUAAAAUUUCCACAUUUAACGUACUGAUAUACAUUAAAUGGUGUGUACGGUUCUUGAACUUCCUUGUUUCUGCAAAAACCUUCACAAAACUGUUGUCAAAAGACGAAAAAAGCAAUAAAUAUGAGAUUUU
rnacentral:misc_RNA from 1 species